UGCAUAAGAAAGAAGCCAGAAAAGAUAGAGGAAAACAUUGGUGGGACAAGUACAAAUCCUUCAAGGGAGAUACAAGAAGUGAGGAGUUUUAUUCAUUACCUUUCAAUCUAAACAAGUACUUCCCCUCUGUUUAAUUGUGAAAAGGAGCUAAAUUAUAAUGCAGUUUUAUAGUCACCUAAUAUUUAGAUUGAAACUUAUUACACCCUAUAGGUUGUAGCUAUAUGAGUACUCCACCUUGUUAUGGAAUUUUGUGAAACUUUGUUUUUAACUGUUGUUUCUGUAUAAUCUGAUCGAGAAAGUAUAUCCACAACAGUAAGGAGCAUGUUUAAUCUAUCUAUCAUAUAAAUGUUUAUACCAUCUUUAUUCACUCUUCAAGUUUUGGUCUCACUAUGUACCCUGAGUUUUUCUACUCUAUUCUUAAAUUAUGUUCUUAAAUCCCUAUAAUCAGUGGUUUUUACAUCAUUCCAAGGAGAGCACUUGUAAUUCUUAUCAACCAAGUCCUCAGUGCUGUUAUUCAGACAAAAUCCAUGUAUUCGAGAACAUAAAUAAUUGGCCAUAUGUCCAUAUGCAUAAACACAAGGUUUAGAGAUUUUGACAGUUGAGAAUUAGAAAAGGGUGGUUAGGACAACUUCCCAUCCUACCUGAAGUCUAACCUUCAGGUAUUAACGACACAACUUCUCAACUGAUUUCCUAAGUAAUAAUCUUACCAUUGCAAUAAGUCUCACCCUCUUGAAAAAGAAUGUCGAAUGUGAUUACAAUUACUAUUAACAGAACAUCAAUAAGUAUAAAUUCACCAUAUCAAUAUGAUCAUUGGUUCACAUCAUUUCAAGCAAAGAUAGAAUUGCAUUAAAUAACUCAAAUCAUCAACAACUACUCCCACUCCUAAAUUGCAGACACAUUUGAUGGUUGAAUUAGUUAUAACUAUUUUUCUGAAAGCCAAGAAUUUAUAAUAUGCCAAUCAAUUGGCAUCAUCACAAAGCGUACAUGUUGAAGGAUGAAAAAACUACUGAUGCAAAAGCAAUUUGGGUUCACAUGCUUCUCUGCUUAUUUUAACAUGGCUAACUAUUAAGUCCAAAUUAUUGCCAUAAAAACAAAAUUUAACAGAAAACUAGCAUCCCAAUGUUCACUUUAUUCUGCACUUUUAGAAGUUUUUAUUUUAUGAGCCUUCUAGAGUGCUAUUGUUUACGAGCUUCUUCUCUUGUAGCUGCUUUGACAUAUAUUUCGUAACAGCAUCCUGAAAUAUCAUACAAACAUACAAGUGUUAAACUGGUACAGAUUAAGAAGAAGAAAAACAAUAGAAUUUGAAGAUACCUCAAGGAUCAGGAAACCCUAGAUCCCUAUUUUAUUUGUUGCUGAACUGUGAAUAGAUGUUUGUAAUUUAGGUAUUUAGUUUGGGUAAUCCACGUACAUUUUCUUCCCUCUAAUACUUAAUUUACCUUUAUCAUGUAGGAAAAUUCGGAGCAGUUUUCGCUUCCAUCCCACCUCCCAUUGUUGCUGCUCUGUACUGCUUGUUCUUCGCUUAUGUUGGUAUGUUUAAGCUUAGCAUAAUAGCAUCUACUCUUCGACAUAUUCAGACUUGAUUUUUUAUACAUAAAAGAAAACACCAUGUAAUGUAAUGCUCCGCUUUCGUAUAUCAUUUGUAGGUGCCGGAGGUCUUAGUUUUCUUCAGUUCUGCAACCUUAACAGUUUUAGAACAAAAUUCAUACUAGGCUUCUCUCUUUUCCUGGGUUUGUCCGUGCCACAGUACUUCAACGAGUACACGGCGAUUAAUGGUUUUGGACCAGUUCAUACAGGCGCAAGAUGGGUAUGGAUAAUAUGUACAUAGUAUUAUGCAUAACUAGAGACUGAUUCUUACUUUGUUGAGUUUACCUGUGCUGACAUUUUUAUGUCUCUGGCAGUUCAACGAUAUAGUCAACGUUCCGUUCCAAUCAAAACCAUUUGUCGCGGGCGUGGUGGCAUAUUUCCUGGACAACACACUGCAUAAGAAAGAAGCCAGAAAAGAUAGAGGAAAACAUUGGUGGGACAAGUACAAAUCCUUCAAGGGAGAUACAAGAAGUGAGGAGUUUUAUUCAUUACCUUUCAAUCUAAACAAGUACUUCCCCUCUGUUUAAUUGUGAAAAGGAGCUAAAUUAUAAUGCAGUUUUAUAGUCACCUAAUAUUUAGAUUGAAACUUAUUACACCCUAUAGGUUGUAGCUAUAUGAGUACUCCACCUUGUUAUGGAAUUUUGUGAAACUUUGUUUUUAACUGUUGUUUCUGU
rnacentral:lncRNA from 1 species